rnacentral:rRNA from 1 species
UACGUAGGGUGCAAGCGUUGUCCGGAAUUAUUGGGCGUAAAGAGCUCGUAGGCGGUUCGUCGCGUCGGCUGUGAAAUCCCGAGGCUCAACCUCGGGUCUGCAGUCGAUACGGGCGGACUGGAGUACUGCAGGGGAGACUGGAAUUCCUGGUGUAGCGGUGAAAUGCGCAGAUAUCAGGAGGAACACCGGUGGCGAAGGCGGGUCUCUGGGCAACAACUGACGCUGGAGGAGCGAAAGCGUGGGGAGCGAACAGG